rnacentral:lncRNA from 1 species
GGAAACGGGGGAAAAGGCGGAGCACACCACAACGCCGGCUUUUAAUUAGCUUCAGUAAACACGGUUAUGUACAAUAAUAAGACCGGAUAAUCCAUGAGUUACUAUUCUCUCGAACAGUGCAUGUGGCUUUGAAUUUGAUGACUUGUCAUCCUGACUAGUGGUAAAUCAUCGAUCAAUAGCCAGAUAAAGCUUCAGGUUAUUGACCACUUUUUACUGAGCUGUACUUAAAUGAGUUCAGAGAUGAAUUACUCAGCUGGAACACCCCCAAUAUCUGAUAUACUGUUCAGUAAAGAGGAAACAUG